CCUACGGGUGGCAGCAGUGAGGAAUAUUGGUCAAUGGACGAGAGUCUGAACCAGCCAAGUAGCGUGAAGGAUGACUGCCCUAUGGGUUGUAAACUUCUUUUAUAUGGGAAUAAAACGUUCCACGUGUGGGAUUUUGUAUGUACCAUAUGAAUAAGGAUCGGCUAACUCCGUGCCAGCAGCCGCGGUAAUACGGAGGAUCCGAGCGUUAUCCGGAUUUAUUGGGUUUAAAGGGAGCGUAGGUGGAUUGUUAAGUCAGUUGUGAAAGUUUGCGGCUCAACCGUAAAACUGCAGUUGAAACUGGCAGUCUUGAGUACAGUAGAGGUGGGCGGAAUUCGUGGUGUAGCGGUGAAAUGCUUAGAUAUCACGAAGAACUCCGAUUGCGAAGGCAGUUCACUGGACUGCAACUGACACUGAGGCUCGAAAGUGUGGGUAUCAAACAGGAUUAGAUACCCCUGUAGUC
rnacentral:rRNA from 1 species